rnacentral:lncRNA from 1 species
AAAAAACAGAAGCCAUUUUUACGAAUAUAGCCCCAGUAAAUCGUCUGAGUCGUCUGAGAUGUUGUAAGUCGUCUGGACGACUGAAGUGUAAGUCGUCUGGUACCAGUUUAUUUUAAAAAUAAUUUAUAAAUCUUGUAAAAAAAUAUUUUGAUGCGUAAAAAAUAAAAAUCAAGUAAUUAUAAACAGUUUUAACUAAUAUAAAUUAAGAUAUGAUAAAAUUGAUUUGUUUUGAAGAUAGAUGAGUGAAAGUAGUGAAUCAUGAAAUACUUUGGUUUAGGAGUUUGGCAAAC